GAUUAAGUUAUUAAGGGCGCACGGUGGAUGCCUUGGCACUAGAAGCCGAUGAAGGACGUUACUAACGACGAUAUGCUUUGGGGAGCUGUAAGUAAGCUUUGAUCCAGAGAUUUCCGAAUGGGGAAACCCAGCAUGAGUUAUGUCAUGUUAUCGAUAUGUGAAUACAUAGCAUAUCAGAAGGCACACCCGGAGAACUGAAACAUCUUAGUACCCGGAGGAAGAGAAAGAAAAUUCGAUUCCCUUAGUAGCGGCGAGCGAAACGGGAAGAGCCCAAACCAACAAGCUUGCUUGUUGGGGUUGUAGGACACUCUAUACGGAGUUACAAAGGACGACAUUAGACGAAUCAUCUGGAAAGAUGAAUCAAAGAAGGUAAUAAUCCUGUAGUCGAAAAUGUUGUCUCUCUUGAGUGGAUCCUGAGUACGACGGAGCACGUGAAAUUCCGUCGGAAUCUGGGAGGACCAUCUCCUAAGGCUAAAUACUCUCUAGUGACCGAUAGUGAACCAGUACCGUGAGGGAAAGGUGAAAAGCACCCCGGAAGGGGAGUGAAAUAGAACCUGAAACCGUGUGCUUACAAGUAGUCAGAGCCCGUUAAUGGGUGAUGGCGUGCCUUUUGUAGAAUGAACCGGCGAGUUACGAUUUGAUGCAAGGUUAAGCAGUAAAUGUGGAGCCGUAGCGAAAGCGAGUCUGAAUAGGGCGUUUAGUAUUUGGUCGUAGACCCGAAACCAGGUGAUCUACCCUUGGUCAGGUUGAAGUUCAGGUAACACUGAAUGGAGGACCGAACCGACUUACGUUGAAAAGUGAGCGGAUGAACUGAGGGUAGCGGAGAAAUUCCAAUCGAACCUGGAGAUAGCUGGUUCUCUCCGAAAUAGCUUUAGGGCUAGCCUCAAGUGAUGAUUAUUGGAGGUAGAGCACUGUUUGGACGAGGGGCCCCUCUCGGGUUACCGAAUUCAGACAAACUCCGAAUGCCAAUUAAUUUAACUUGGGAGUCAGAACAUGGGUGAUAAGGUCCGUGUUCGAAAGGGAAACAGCCCAGACCACCAGCUAAGGUCCCAAAAUAUAUGUUAAGUGGAAAAGGAUGUGGCGUUGCCCAGACAACUAGGAUGUUGGCUUAGAAGCAGCCAUCAUUUAAAGAGUGCGUAAUAGCUCACUAGUCGAGUGACACUGCGCCGAAAAUGUACCGGGGCUAAACAUAUUACCGAAGCUGUGGAUUGUCCUUUGGACAAUGGUAGGAGAGCGUUCUAAGGGCGUUGAAGCAUGAUCGUAAGGACAUGUGGAGCGCUUAGAAGUGAGAAUGCCGGUGUGAGUAGCGAAAGACGGGUGAGAAUCCCGUCCACCGAUUGACUAAGGUUUCCAGAGGAAGGCUCGUCCGCUCUGGGUUAGUCGGGUCCUAAGCUGAGGCCGACAGGCGUAGGCGAUGGAUAACAGGUUGAUAUUCCUGUACCACCUAUAAUCGUUUUAAUCGAU
rnacentral:rRNA from 1 species